CUCAGAUCAUGUAAGAUUUUAAUGAUCGAACAGAUCAAAAUUUUAAACUUUUGCACUUAAAUUUUAUCUUAAUCCAACAUCGAGGUCGCAAACUUUUUUUUUUAUUCGAACUAAAAAAAAAUAUUACGCUGUUAUCCCUAAGGUAAUUUUUUCUUAUAAUCAUUAUCAAUGGAUCAUUUAACCAUUUAUUUAUGUUUAAUUUUUAAAAAAAGUUAAUUUAAUUUUUCUAUCACCCCAAUAUAAUAAUUAAUUUUAUUUUAAUAAAAAUUUUUAUAUAACUUUAAAAUAAAAAUAAAUAUAAAACUCUAUAGGGUCUUCUCGUCUUUUAAAAUUAUUUUAGCUUUUUAACUAAAAAAUAAAUUUCUAAAAAUAAAUAAGAGACAGUUUAUAUUUCAUCAAAUCUUUCAUACAAGUUUUCAAUUAAAAAACUAUUGAUUAUGCUACCUUUGUACAGUCAUUAUACUGCAGCCCUUUAAUAUUUAUCAGUGGGCAGAUUAGACUUUAAAUUAUAUUCAAAAAGACAUGUUUUUG
rnacentral:rRNA from 1 species